AUACGGAGGGUGCAAGCGUUACUCGGAAUCACUGGGCGUAAAGCGCGCGCAGGCGACCUGAUAAGUUGGAUGUGAAAGCCUACGGCUCAACCGUAGAACUGCAUCCAAAACUGUCAGGCUAGAGUGUGGGAGAGGAAGAUGGAAUUAGUUGUGUAGGGGUAAAAUCCGUAGAGAUAACUAGGAAUACCAAAAGCGAAGGCAAUCUUCUGGAACACUACUGACGCUGAGGCGCGAAGGCGUGGGGAGCAAACAGGAUUAGAAACCCGGGUAGUCC
rnacentral:rRNA from 1 species